UUCCGGAAAGUUUUGGGGUCCCUUCCCGAGCCCCUCUCCACCCUUUGUGUACCUACCUCUGUUGCUUUGGCGGGCCGCGGUUCUCCGCGGCCGGCCCCCUGAUCGGGGCUGGCCCGCGCCCGCCAGAGGACCACAAAACUCCAGUCAGUGAACUUUGCUGUCUGAUAUAAAUUCAAUAAACUAAAACUUUCAACAACGGAUCUCUUGGUUCUGGCAUCGAUGAAGAACGCAGCGAAAUGCGAUAAGUAAUGUGAAUUGCAGAAUUCAGUGAAUCAUCGAAUCUUUGAACGCACAUUGCGCCCUUUGGUAUUCCGAAGGGCAUGCCUGUUCGAGCGUCAUUACACCCCUCAAGCUCUGCUUGGUGUUGGGCAGCGUCCUCUCGGACGCGCCUCAAAGACCUCGGCGGUGGCGUCUUGCCUCAAGCGUAGUAGAAAACACCUCGCUUUGGAGGACGGGACGACCGCUCGCCGGACGAACCUUUGAAUUCAUUUUCCUAGGUUGACCUCGGAUCAGGUAGGGAUACCCGCUGAACAUAAG
rnacentral:rRNA from 1 species